GCCGGAUAGUUCACAAUGCCUGGAACGGUUUGUGAAUCAAGGUACGAUGGGUCUGCGGCGUAUCAGGUUGUAAGGGGUGUAAAGGACCCCCUAGCCUUCGACGCGUACGGGUGUUGGGAGACAUAGCCCGGAGAUGGAUUCUGAGACACGAAUCCAGACCCUACGGGGUGCAGCAGGCGCGAAAACUUCACACUGCGGGAAACUGUGAUGAGGGAACUCCUAGUGCAUGCACUAUGUGUAUGUACAUCCUACUCUUAACAAGUAGAGGGAAAGGGCUGGGAAAGACCGGUGCCAGCCGCCGCGGUAAUACCGGCAGCUCAAGUGGUCGUCGCUUUUAUUGGGCCUAAAACGUCCGUAGCCUGUCUGGUAAAUCUGUGGGUAAAUCAAUCCGCUCAACGGAUUGAAUUCUGCAGAGACUGCCAGACUAGGGACCGGGAGAGGUGUGGGGUACUCGAGGGGUACGGGUAAAAUCCUGUCAUCCUUCGAGGACCACCAGUUGCG
rnacentral:rRNA from 1 species